GCUGCUGCAGCAGGCAGGCAGAGCCGCAGAGGGAGGUAUUUCUGUGCAGAACAAGGCUCGCCUUGACCCCAAGGCCCAUGCCAAGGGGAGCGAGGCCAAACACAGACCAGCUCUGCGGGGCCAGUCCAGCUGCCGCCUAGCUGCUUGGGCUGUGACGCAUGUGGCCGGCGCAGCCCCUCACCACUGGGGGAGCCCAAGCAAAGUCCAGCGUUCGGGCGGUCACCAGUGUCAGAAGUGUCUCCAGCAGACAAUGACAGCGGCCUGGCGGGCUGGGAGUGUUCUCUGCUGCGUCUGAGUCUUGACAGUCUUGAAAAGAUCCAGCUGCUGAACUGUCCUGCUUCCUCCCUUCACAAGAUACAGCAUGCAAUCAAAUAACUCAUUUGACCGAUUUACGUGGCAACCACUUCUCCAGAGAUGAAUGGAGCCUAUCAGAGACUUAUAAAAUGCUGGGCCAUCCAG